rnacentral:tRNA from 4 species
GCUGCAGUAGCUCAGUCGGUAGAGCGUCGCCUUGGUAAGGCGGAGGUCGUGGGUUCAAAUCCCAUCUGUAGCU